UUUGGGCCUGUGGUGCUCUGCGUUGCGGCAUAAACACCUUGUCCACCCCGGUUUGGUUGAACGUGGGCGCUCUGUAUUUUUUGUUGCAGCUCUUCUUGCCUCCGGCGGCCUGGCCAGGUCUGAGCGCAGCCUCGCAGCCUCGCUAGAACGUGAUGGGGAUGUUAGCAGGAGCCAGGUGGAAAGCCACACGGCCGGACUGAAACGGGAGCUCGGACAUGGAAUAUUGAAUGUGCUGUGCUGUAGGACCGGCCGAACGCGGGAGGCUUCACUGCUUGGCCAAGCAC